UAUAACGUUUGUGUUUGUUCCAACACUGCUAUGCAAUCUCACAUUUGUUGAUGCGUGAUUUCAUUGCAGGAAACCCUAGGUAAUAGCAGAAGACUGCACCUAGGCAGAACGCAGCUGCGUAAAGAUACGCAGGAUGCGCAAAGCCCAUGCCUCCAACAUCUACGGGCGACCCCAGUGUCCACCAGUGCUAUGAGCUACACCCAUCCAUACAAGGUGCCCCGACUUCCCUUCUGAUUUCAGGGAGCCCUCCUUCCACCACUUCAAAUAACUCACAACCUGCAACCUUUGGAAGGCCUCAGUCUGCAAGAAAACAUCAGGAUUUUGUCAAGCAAUUGAUUAAUGACCACUAGUUGGGAUGAAGGAGAUUGAAAAAGAAAAAGAAACUCAAGGAAGAGGAUAAACAUGAGCAACUGUUCUGUUCUCCUCCACUAACUGUGAAGGAGAGUGAGAAAGCCUGCGUGCAUGUGGCUAUUUCCAUUGAGCCAGAAAGAGUCCCUCUGCAAGCUUCCUACUGAGCAAACCCUGAGGCGGGAAGGCUGAGCAGCUCAAGUCAUCCCCAGCCCUGGUCAAGCCUACGACAGGCCGUCUGAGCGACAAGCCAGGGAGGCAAACAAACAUGCAUCCCAGAAGCACAGCUCUCUGCAGCUGCCCCAAGUUUAAUGGGUUUGAAACAGAACUCUCCCCACCAAAUGUGACCCCUCGUUUCUAUGACCCCUUUUCUUAGUCUAUCCAGUCUCAAAAUUGCAGCUUCGUCUUUCACUUUGGUUCCCAUGACCCAUCCUUCAUACCCACUCUUGCUCGUUUGCGUCCUCAAGACCAUAUUGGCCAUGGUCUCUCAGAUUCCAGGCGAAUGGCCUCUCUUUCCUCUGUUCUUCCUCAAAAUUUCUGUCUAUGGUACUCACUUGGCACUUUUUUAAUAUCUUUCUCAUACAGUAUCAAUUCCACACCCACUGUAGGUAAGUUCUUUGCUAUGCUAUCUCAUUUAUAAAAUCACUGUAAGUCUGUGAAAUAUUCUUUUAUCCCAACGUUACAGAAGAAUGGAUGUUCAGGGGAGACAAUCUGUCCAAGAUCACAGUUGUAAUGCUGACAUUCAGACCUGGCCUUCUGGUUCUACCCUAACACCAAGGGGCUUCAUAUUGUUAGUUACAACUUUAAACACCAUCCCCUGGCCUUAAAUCAAGCGGAUGACCCUCAAAGGAAAGGACCCAUUUCAUCCAACUUUGUGCUCUCUCUAGAGCCUAGCAAUACUCAUAACUCAUGUUCACGGGUUUAUAUUUCAAGCCUCAGCUCAGAGACUAUUUUUCUUGGUGACUUCCACCCCUGCAGAAGCAACCACUCAAUCCUCCUUGCCCUCCAUAUGCUUCUCCUGCAGGAUAUGCAAGCCUUACCUGCAGGGUCCGGGACUGCUACGUGUGGACCCAGAACACAGGAAGCCCUUCACGAAUGUUCACUGAAUGAAAUGUUUAUGUGUGAGACAGAUUUCUUGACAGGGUUGCUAUGGCUUACUAAAAAAAAAAAAGAGAGAGAGAGAGAGAGAGACCUCAUGUUUAGCUUUAGUGCAUAUGAGGCGAAUUAUUUUAAGAAAACAUGACAGAGGGGAAAUGGAGAAGAACAGAGAGCACAGGUCUUGGCUCUUUGAGCCAUAUCCACUUCACUUGCUGCCCUGAGUAUACUGUGUAAUAGAGCUUCCAAAUUUUAAUGUAUAUGUAAUAUCACUCAAUACAAAUUAUGAUUCUGGGGUAGAGCCCAAGAUUCUGCAUUAGCAAGCUCCCAAGAGAUGUCAAGGACGCUGAAUCUAGGGACCACACAUUUGAGUAGCAAAAAGUUCUAGACAGUAUAGUGAAAGUCUGCCCAUUUAGAGAGAUGUAACACGUAGAUUAAAAUAGCGAGACAUAAAUUCACAGUGUUAAUGCUAGUUAUCUCUGGGUUUCUCCUUUCCACUUUUCUAUAAUUUCCAAGAAUCUUAUCAUGAUUCUUGCUGAUGGCAAUAAAAUUUUAAAUCCUAUAUAUACAAUUGCACUUAAAAACUGUACAUUUGGACAUUUCCACUCUGCAUGGCUACAUCUUUAUUUAAGCAACAAAUAUACUUAAAAGGACUAGGCUGGGGAGAGAACAGGUUGAUGAAUUAGCAAUUCCCUAUCUCCUCAUUUAAACACUUAGAUUAACAUAAAACAGCAAUUAUCCUUAACAAUCACCACAAGCAUUGUUUUUCUCAGGUUCCUUUCCCUUAAAAGAGAAAGAAUCCAUUCAGUUGGAAGACAACAAAAGGCAACCCAAAUUAAGGACAGAAGGAAAAACAAGCAGGCACUACAUACUGGAUCUUUUCCAAGUGGGUCAAUGCAACCGCAUCAAAGUCCAAACAGAGGUGGAAAUAAGGUUCCUCUAGAAGAGGCAGGGUGGGCUAGGUUACACUACAAGGCUAAAUGGAAUCAUUUAACGUAGCACUCACCGUGCACCUGCCAGUGAGGUGGAAAGAAAUGAUUCCCAGAGGAGCCCCACUUCCACAGUGUAACAAGGAGAUGUCAUUAGGAAAAGGCAAUAAGAGGGUGCCCCUUUGGAGGAGAACCUUCCUCAAUACCCAUCUCCUUCUCUUGCAUAAGAGUCCCAGUGCUGGCCAGGGUAUAUUCUGUGAGUCGGAGAAGUGUAGCCGGGGGGAGGAGGAAUUUUGCACACCCACCCCAGGACUUAGAACAAUUCAGACACUUGCCCAGCCAUAGGUGUCUGUGAAUCGGGGUGGGCCAAAACCAAAGAAGGAGGUUCUGUGCCCCAGCACUCACAAGGUUCUGCUUCCUCUGCUUUCCAAAUCUCUUCCAACUUCCAGGGACUUUCCCGUCGCAAGCUUCAGGCACUCAUACCACAAUUCCACCCGCGGUCCUGACGGACUUCUUGCCUUCCAGAAAUAUUGUGAAACUCACUGUGAAAUUACCCACAGGGAUUGGAAU